UGGGUAGGCAGCAGUAGGGAAUCUUCCGCAAUGGGCGAAAGCUGACGGAGCAACGCCGCGUGAGUNAUGAAGGUCUUCGGAUCGUAAAGCUCUGUUAUUAGGGAAGAACAAAUGUGUAAGUAACUAUGCACGUCUUGACGGUACCUAAUCAGAAAGCCACGGCUAACUACGUGCCAGCAGCCGCGGUAAUACGUAGGUGGCAAGCGUUAUCCGGAAUUAUUGGGCGUAAAGCGCGCGUAGGCGGUUUCUUAAGUCUGAUGUNAAAGCCCACGGCUCAACCGUGGAGGGUCAUUGGAAACUGGGAGACUUGAGUGCAGGAGAGGAAAGUGGAAUUCCAUGUGUAGCGGUGAAAUGCGCAGAGAUAUGGAGGAACACCAGUGGCGAAGGCGACUUUCUGGUCUGCAACUGACGCUGAUGUGCNAAAGCGUGGGGAUCAAACAGGAUUAGAUACCCUGGUAGUCCACGCUGUAAACGAUGAGUGCUAAGUGUUAGGGGGUUUCCGCCCCUUAGUGCUGCAGCUAACG
rnacentral:rRNA from 1 species